rnacentral:rRNA from 1 species
AACGCUAGCUACAGGCUUAACACAUGCAAGUCGAGGGGCAUCAGGGUAGCAAUACCGCUGGCGACCGGCGCACGGGUGAGUAACACGUAUCCAACCUACCGUUAACUCGGGGAUAGCCUUUCGAAAGAAAGAUUAAUACCCGAUAGUAUAUUUUCUUCGCAUGUUGAAAAUAUUAAAGAAUUUCGGUUAUCGAUGGGGAUGCGUUCCAUUAGGCAGUUGGCGGGGUAACGGCCCACCAAACCUACGAUGGAUAGGGGUUCUGAGAGGAAGGUCCCCCACAUUGGAACUGAGACACGGUCCAAACUCCUACGGGAGGCAGCAGUGAGGAAUAUUGGUCAAUGGACGAAGGUCUGAACCAGCCAAGUAGCGUGAAGGAUGACUGCCCUAUGGGUUGUAAACUUCUUUUAUAUGGGAAUAAAGUUCUCCACGUGUGGAGUUUUGUAUGUACCAUUAUGAAUAAGCAUCGGCUAACUCCGUGCCAGCAGCCGCGGUAAUACGGAGGAUGCGAGCGUUAUCCGGAUUUAUUGGGUUUAAAGGGAGCGUAGGUUGACAUAUAAGUCAGCUGUGAAAGUUUACGGCUCAACCGUGAAAUUGCAGUUGAUACUGUAUGUCUUGAGUGUACAAGAGGUGGGCGGAAUUCGUGGUGUAGCGGUGAAAUGCUUAGAUAUCACGAAGAACUCCGAUUG